GAUGAACGCUAGCGGCAGGCCUAAUACAUGCAAGCCGAACGGCAAGUCUUUUAGCAAUAGAAGACCUAGAGUGGCGUAAGGGUGCGUAACACGUAUGCAAUCUGCCCUCAACAGGAGGAUAGCUCCCCGAAAGGGGAAUUAAGCCUCCAUAGGAUCGUAAUGUGGCAUCACAUAGCGAUUAAACUACCAGGGGUUGAGGAUGAGCAUGCGCAUGAUUAGUUAGUUGGCGGGGUAACGGCCCACCAAGACGAUGAUCAUUAGGGGAACUGAGAGGUUGAUCCCCCACACUGGCACUGAGAUACGGGCCAGACUCCUACGGGAGGCAGCAGUAGGGAAUAUUGGACAAUGGGUGCAAGCCUGAUCCAGCCAUGCCGCGUGCAGGAAG
rnacentral:rRNA from 1 species